rnacentral:rRNA from 1 species
UAGGGUAGCCGUAGGGAAACCGAGUCUUAACUGGGCGAAUAGUUGCAAGGUAUAGACCCGAAACCCGGUGAUCUAGCCAUGGGCAGGUUGAAGGUUGAGUAACAUCAACUGGAGGACCGAACCCACUAACGUUGAAAAGUUAGGGGAUGACCUGUGGCUAGGAGUGAAAGGCUAAUCAAACCGGGAGAUAGCUGGUUCUCCCCGAAAUCUAUUUAGGUAGAGCCUCGGACGAAUACUUACGGGGGUAGAGCACUGUUAAGGCUAGGGGGUCAUCCCGACUUACCAACCCUUUGCAAACUCCGAAUACCGUAAAGUAAUAUCCGGGAGACACACGGCGGGUGCUAACGUCCGUCGUGAAGAGGGAAACAACCCAGACCGCCAGCUAAGGUCCCAAAGUCAUAGUUAAGUGGGAAACGAUGUGGAAAGGCCCAGACAGCCAGGAGGUUGGCUUAGAAGCAGCCAUCCUUUAAAGAAAGCGUAAUAGCUCACUGGUCGAGUCGGUCUGCGCGGAAGAUGUAACGGGGCUAAACUAUGCACCGAAGCUGCGGAUUCAGAAUUUAUUCUGAGUGGUAGGGGAGCGUUCUGUAAGCCGUUGAAGGUGUACCGGGAGGUAUGCUGGAGGUAUCAGAAGUGCGAAUGCUGACAUGAGUAACGAUAAUGGGAGUGAAAA